AAAUUGAAGAGUUUGAUCAUGGCUCAGAUUGAACGCUGGCGGCAGGCCUAACACAUGCAAGUCGAACGGUAACAGGAAGCAGCUUGCUGCUUCGCUGACGAGUGGCGGACGGGUGAGUAAUGUCUGGGAAACUGCCUGAUGGAGGGGGAUAACUACUGGAAACGGUGGCUAAUACCGCAUAACGUCGCAAGACCAAAGAGGGGGACCUUCGGGCCUCUUGCCAUCAGAUGUGCCCAGAUGGGAUUAGCUUGUUGGUGAGGUAACGGCUCACCAAGGCGACGAUCCCUAGCUGGUCUGAGAGGAUGACCAGCCACACUGGAACUGAGACACGGUCCAGACUCCUACGGGAGGCAGCAGUGGGGAAUAUUGCACAAUGGGCGCAAGCCUGAUGCAGCCAUGCCGCGUGUAUGAAGAAGGCCUUCGGGUUGUAAAGUACUUUCAGCGGGGAGGAAGGUGUUGUGGUUAAUAACCGCAGCAAUUGACGUUACCCGCAGAAGAAGCACCGGCUAACUCCGUGCCAGCAGCCGCGGUAAUACGGAGGGUGCAAGCGUUAAUCGGAAUUACUGGGCGUAAAGCGCACGCAGGCGGUCUGUCAAGUCGGAUGUGAAAUCCCCGGGCUCAACCUGGGAACUGCAUUCGAAACUGGCAGGCUUGAGUCUUGUAGAGGGGGGUAGAAUUCCAGGUGUAGCGGUGAAAUGCGUAGAGAUCUGGAGGAAUACCGGUGGCGAAGGCGGCCCCCUGGACAAAGACUGACGCUCAGGUGCGAAAGCGUGGGGAGCAAACAGGAUUAGAUACCCUGGUAGUCCACGCCGUAAACGAUGUCUACUUGGAGGUUGUGCCCUUGAGGCGUGGCUUCCGGAGCUAACGCGUUAAGUAGACCGCCUGGGGAGUACGGCCGCAAGGUUAAAACUCAAAUGAAUUGACGGGGGCCCGCACAAGCGGUGGAGCAUGUGGUUUAAUUCGAUGCAACGCGAAGAACCUUACCUGGUCUUGACAUCCACAGAAUUUUGCAGAGAUGCGGAAGUGCCUUCGGGAACUGUGAGACAGGUGCUGCAUGGCUGUCGUCAGCUCGUGUUGUGAAAUGUUGGGUUAAGUCCCGCAACGAGCGCAACCCUUAUCCUUUGUUGCCAGCGGUUAGGCCGGGAACUCAAAGGAGACUGCCAGUGAUAAACUGGAGGAAGGUGGGGAUGACGUCAAGUCAUCAUGGCCCUUACGACCAGGGCUACACACGUGCUACAAUGGCGCAUACAAAGAGAAGCGACCUCGCGAGAGCAAGCGGACCUCAUAAAGUGCGUCGUAGUCCGGAUUGGAGUCUGCAACUCGACUCCAUGAAGUCGGAAUCGCUAGUAAUCGUGGAUCAGAAUGCCACGGUGAAUACGUUCCCGGGCCUUGUACACACCGCCCGUCACACCAUGGGAGUGGGUUGCAAAAGAAGUAGGUAGCUUAACCUUCGGGAGGGCGCUUACCACUUUGUGAUUCAUGACUGGGGUGAAGUCGUAACAAGGUAACCGUAGGGGAACCUGCGGUUGGAUCACCUCCUUA
rnacentral:rRNA from 1 species